UCUUGAGCUGUGUAAUAUGUAGAUAAUAUUUUCUCAGUGUGUGCUAUUUGUAUGGAUAAAAGAUACGUUCAAUGCCCUAUUUUUUAUCUCUUUUAUGGAUUUAAUGAGCUUCACAAUCAACAUCUUGUAUCAGUUUCUUAUUGAAAUUGGCUUGAAAAAAUCGCCGAGAGGAGGCAACUUCUGAGUGACACAGGUAUAAAAGAGAGAAAAAGAGGAUGAUUUUGUCACGGCGUAAACGAACGAUGAUGCGCACGGUCAGCCUAGCUCCUCGUCCGGCUUCUCGGAACACGGGAGCCAGCUCUUGUUUCGAAAAGCGUAGCGCACGGUGGAAGCGGUGGACGACGCGGCUGCUCAAGGCUGCAUUCACGUUUGAAUUCUCGUAGGGGGUAAUUUGA